UGUGAGGGUGAUCUGGCUAUAACAUCUGUCACCCCAUUGAUCGCCAGGGUUGAUUCGGCUGAUCUGGCUGGCUAGGUGGGUGUCCCUCUCCUCACUUA
ensembl:misc_RNA 7SK 7SK RNA